AUUAAAAUUUAAAUAUGUAAUCUUUUUAUAACACGCGCAUUUUUAUAAUAUCUGAUUGUUACUUAACAUAAAAUUGUAUUCGCAUUACUUUCUGUGAUAAUAAUGUUUAUAUUUAUAAUGAUUGAAUAACGAUUUGAAUUAUUAGCUUUAUGAUGAUUAUAUCACAUUCAAUCGGAAAAUAAUUAUUGUCACAUUUUAUUGUGAAAAGUUUAAGAUUUUAAUCAUUGUUAGCUAAGCAUUCUUUUAGAGAUCCUUAUAUACUACUUUCUUGUGUACAACUUGCAUAAAAUGAAUAAUAAUUUAGAAGAAUUGAGAGACUGAUUAUUGAAAUAAACACUGUAUGUAUAUAAAAUACGAGUAUACUCAAUUUUUUCUUCUGCAUAAAUAUAAGAUAUUCUGUAUAAAGAUAAUGCGAUAGUAAAAAAACUUACAAUAUAAAAUAAAAAUAUACACAAGAUUAUCAACUAUACUAAUUUUCUACGUUCCUACUAAAAUUCCUGAAAUUCCUUCCAACAAAGGACCAAAAUUGCGAAUUUGAUGUAUAUAUUAAUUAACCAAUUUUUUUAUCUCUAGAAUCUUCGAGAGAAUUUAAUUCAUAUAACUUAUAUUAAUAAAAAUCUAAUCCAGACAUUAAGCAAGACAUUAAAGAACUGCUACGGCACGAGGAAGAAUUAAGGAAAAAUAUUAAUCUGAUCUAACUGAGGGUAUGUAACAUGCUAAGAACACUUGCUAAUAUCGCGCUUUCUUUUCAGGUAACGACGACAGGUCUCACAGGCCUCAAGAUUACCAUAGGCGAUAUCGCGGCAAGUACACCUGCGACGCGUGCGGUAAGGAGUACACAUGGAAACCAUCCCUGACGAGGCAUAAACGCGAGGAUUGCGGUAAGGAGCCGCAGUACCCGUGUCCAGUGUGCAAUGCGAAGCUCCGGCGCAACCGUCAGCUCAAGCUACACUUGAUUUACGUUCACAACUGGUUCAACAAACCAAUGCAUGCAUAAAGCGGAUAAUAAAAAAUAACACCAAGCGAAAGAAGUUUCAUAAUGAUAGACGAUACAGUAAAUAUACUUGCAACAUAUGUGAUAGAUAGUACAAGUGGAAAUAUUUUCUGACAAAGCACAAACGCGAAAAAAUGCGGUAAGAAACUGCAGUUUGUAUAUGACAAGAGAUUCAGACACAUGAAUCGUCUAAAAGUAUAUAGCACUUCGAAAAUAUUCUUUGUAAAAAGGAAAACAAUUUCUUUUAAUUCAAUAAUUAACUUUAUGAAUUUACUCAUGUUUGGUGUGUUAAUCCGAAGUUUCGGUUAUAGCCAUCAAUACAAGCGAUAUUUUAUAAAAGGGUUAAUCCUUAAGCUAAAAUACAUUCUAAUAGUGCAAUAAACUAAGUGCAAAAAAUACAAUUAAACAGCAAAGAAACCGUAUGCUGUAUUUUUAUUUUUGUUUACUUUAUUUGAAUAUCAGAUUAUUAAAUUAUUAUAAAAUCUAUCGUUUCUCUAUGAUUGUUAUGUUUAAAAUAAUACAUUUUAAUAUUAAAAUAAAACAAAUUUUGUGUUUUUUUUGGGUUUGUUUUAUUUCAUAUUUUUGUUUUUGUAUUACUAUCUAUGUAUAUCUAUGUAUAUCUACGUAUAUCUAUGUAUAUCAAUUUUAAUUAUUAUUCGAAAAAGUAUUUCCAAUUAUUUUUAUUAAUUAUAUCCAAAAAUUAAUAUUAUUUGGAUAAAAUGAUGGUGACGGGUUAAGAAUUUUUUUUACUUUUGAUUAAUUAUUAGAAAGAUUUUUAAUGAGAUUUAUUGACUCAGACUAAAUAUCUGUACUUUUAAACAUUUAUGCAAAAGCUCUGAUUACUAUGUUCUGAUUACUAUGCAGUUUAUAUUAUGUAUUCUAAAUUAUGUAUUUUAAAUUUACUUAAAAUCUUAUAAAAAUUUAUUCACUCUGCAGUCUAAUUGCCUCAAAGAAAUUAUUAGAUAUGUUGCAUUGAUUAUCCUGUUAACUUUUUUUAGGUAGGUCUGAAAGCUCUAGAUUUAACAUAAUAUCGCCAGUUUGCCAUGAUUGUGGGAAAAAUUUUUUAUGGAGACCACAUCUAGAACAACAUAUAGAAAAAAGCGGAUGUGGAAUUGAACGAAAGAAUAAAAUGCAUUUAUUGCUAAAAUUCAAGAAGACUAUUAAGCUCAUGCAAUACAUCGAUAGAGUUCACACAAAAUUGCUCAAGACUAACAAGUCAUCAUGAUAUUCAAACUGUAAUUUUAUUAACCUUUUAAUGCUAAGAUAUCUUGAGUUUUUGAGAUUAAUAUUAUGAUGCUCUAUUUAAUUUUAUGUUAAAAGAUGUAGAUUGUUUUGAAAAUAAAAAAUAGAAUGGUACCUACUUUAAGUUAUUUAAUAAAGACAGCAUUUAAAAAUAAAAUUACUGCAUGUGACGAAGCAUUGAAGGGUUAAUAAUACCUAUUGUUAUCUUUAUACACUUAUUACAAAAAAAUUAUAGAUCUGUUAAUAUAUAUUGUCAUAUAUCAUUAUCAUAUUGUCAUACAAAUUGUCACAAAUUUAGUUUUAAUUAACAUAUUAGCAUUAUUCUACACAAAGACAAACUAAUAUUUAAAAUAUUAUUAAUUUUUUACUCUUUUUUUUAAAUUUUAUAUAAUAAUAAAGAUAAAAAUUAAAUAACAGCAUAAUCAUCUAGCGGCAAGCAUAUUUUUCAAUAAUGCCAUAUUUAUUAAGCAUAUUUUCCGACUUUGUAUUCAUAGCGAUCUUUCAUAUUUUAUUUAUUUAUAUGAAAUUGAAGGAGAUAUGUGAAUGUUAUUUCUGAUUAAUUUAUACCCAUGAUGAACAAUAUCAAUAUAAGUCGAUGUUUCGAAAAUUUCAGCUAUAUGCAUAUAUCAAUAUAACAGAUUACAUGAUGUUGUAAUUAAUAUUACCAAAAUUUCAAUUAUAUAUGUGAAUAUUUAUUUACUGCCGGUACAAAAAGAAUUUUUAUAAUAUAAGGAUAAAAAAUAUGUACAUACACGGAUACAUUAAAUAUAAAAUCGAAUUUGAUAUUUCGCGAAUGACUAAAAAAUGGAUCAAAACUAUUUUAUCAAUACAUACUGAUUUUGCUCAAAUGAGAUUCUUUAGCAUGCACGCCAUCAAUAUUGAAAUCAACCAUUAAUUUGACAUGAAUAAAAUUAAAUUGUUGCGUAUAUGUUUCAGACUUACAAAGGUACUUGUCACCCUACCAAUGCAAUACGUGCGGCAAGUUAUACAAAUGGAGAGAAUCUCUGAGUCUGCACAAACGAAUGGAGUGCGGUGUCGAACCACGAUUUGCCUGCAACAUCUGCGGCAGAAAGUUCAAACACAAACACCAUCUCAUGAAACAUCACAAUUCAAUUCACAAAUAUGUUCAAUAAUAAAUAAAGUCAAUUAAUCUUUUUUUAUAUUUAAGAAUAGGUAACUUACAAUACAUAAUUAAUUUUAUUUAUAUAAAAAUAUACUUGUGAUUAUAUAUUUAUGAAAAAUAUAUUGAUUAAAAUUUAUAUUCGAGAACUAUCACGUCCUCUAUAUAUCUUAAAACGAUCUAGUCAAGAUUUUUUUAACAUUGUGUUAUAUAAAUCACACAUUAAUAAUUGAAAUUUUUUAGUUUUUAUUUCUCUCAAAAAUUUUUAUGAAGAUAUUUAUAAUAACUUCUUAGUGAUUGUUCUCGAAAAACACAAAGAUAAACAUAAAAGUUUCUAAUAAAACAAUGCAACCAAA
rnacentral:lncRNA from 1 species